UAAUUGUAAAGCAGUUUAAAUAAUGCAUUUCAAAAUGUGAUGCAAAUUGUUGUGCAUGUGGUCAACUACAUUGUUUCAAGAGCACUAAACCACAGACAGUUCAGACAGUUAAUCGAGGACUAUGAAACAGAGUACAGCGAUUUAGUGCUGCACAAUGAA